CGAACUCCUGACCUCAGGUGAUCCACCCGCCUCGGCCUCUGAAAGAUCUGGGAUUACAGGCAUGAGCCACCACACCCGUCAUUUUGAAAUUCUAUUCCCGUGUUUGUUCCUGUCUCUGCCACUAGAAAGUAAGUUCCAGGAGGGCUCAUCUCAUUCGUGGUUAUAUCCUCAGAUCCUAAAACAGAGCCUGGCACUCAGUAGGUCUCAAUAUCUUUUGAAUGAAUGAAUGACGUGCUUUGAGCCAAUGGCUAAGGGCUGUGGGUCUUGCCCUGCAAUGGGGUCUGAACAAGUCAUGGACCGUCUGGGAUCUUCCUCCGAAGACAGCGUCUGGGCUGAGGUCAGCUGCAGUGAAGAACAGUGCUCCUAGAAUAAGAGUCUAGACAGGGGAGGGGCUCAGAGAGCCCAGACUGGAUCUGCCUGAGAAGAACAGAGUUCAAGGGUCUCAGAGGACAGCCCACUUAUGCUAGCAUCUUGCAGAAAGGGCAGGACGGUGGGCCUCAGCUCUAUUUUCUAUUGUUGCAUAACACGCUGUCCCAAAACUUAGUGGCUUAAAAUGAUUUUACCAUAUCUCAUGCUUUUGUGGCAGGAAUUCAUUCAGGGACUGCUGGGCAGGGUGAUUCUUCUGCCCCAUGUGGCACUGACUGAGGUCACCUGAUGGCACUCGGCUGGCAGAUGGGCUGGUCUGGAGGACCUGGAUAGCCUCCUUCGUGAGUUGAGUGGUUUGGCAAGCCAGCUGCAAGGCUGGGCUCAGUGGGGCCUGUCUCCUGGAGCACCCAUGCCUGGCCUCUCCUGCACAACAGCUCAGGGCUCCUGAGGCUGUCAGAAGACCAAGGCAGACACUGCAAGGCUGCUUUGACCUGGCCUUGGGAGUCACAUAGCACCAUUUCCAUCACACCUUAUUGGCUACAGACCCAGUGAAAAGAAUGGUGUCCUCUCCUGACAUUGUCUCUCAGGGUCUGGAAGCUUUUCCUUCAAUCUUCGAGCUCCUCACCUAUCUGAACAUGCCAUUGCCUGCAACCAAGCUUGAGAACCAACAAACAGUGGCUGCGGGUUCUGGAAACACGCAGAGUGAUAGUUCAGAGUAAUGUUGAUAGUACAUUUUAUUUAGCCCAAUAUAUAAAAAAUAUUAUUUCAACAUGUAAUCAAUAGAAAAAUGAUGUGAUAUUUUACAUUCUUUUUAAAAAAUAUUAAGUCUUUGAAACCAGUGUGUUCUUACACUUACAGCCCAUCUGAAUUUGGCCCAACCACACUCCAGUGCUCCAAAGCCAUAGAUGGCCAGGGGCAUCCACACUGGACAGCACAGGGCUAGAGGCACUGGGUGGGCCCUUCUCUAUUUCAAGCUCAGUGGUCUGGAUGUGGGCAGAAAGAGGAGUCUGGAUCUGGGUUAAAGCUACAAGAACUCCCUCCCCAGGGUUAACACCAAUAUUUUCUGUAACACUCCCCUGCCGGUAUUGAAGAGAACAGAAAGAAGGGCAAAGGAAAGAAAAUAAACAAUUUAUUUUUCUUUUAUUGUUAUUUUUAGAGACAGAGUUUGGCUCUGUUGCCCAGGCUGGAGUGCAGUGGCACAGUCAUGGCUCAUUGCAACCUUGACCCCUGAGCUCAAGCAAUCCUUCUGCCUCAGCCUCCUGAGUAGCUGGGACUUACAGGCGUGAGCCACCAUGCCUGGCUAAUUUUUAUUUUUUAUUUUUGUAGCGAUGGAGGUUCACUGUGUUGCCCAGACUGGUCUCAAACUCCUGGGUUCAAUCAAUCCUCCCACCUCAGCCUCCUAAAGUGCUGGGAUUACAGGCUUGAGCCACCGUGACUGGCCCUUAUUUUUCUUUAUAUCCACAGCAUAUUAGUAAUAAUACACCAUUGUACACAACCUUGCCUCUCCUAAUAGAAAGCACGUUCUUUCUUUAUAGAAAUAAAAGAAAAAAACCCAAAUCCCAAGGCUCUGACUGAGGUCCAGCAAGGAUUAAGGUCAUCAGGUACCAAACAGGAUCCAAGGGUAAAUAAAGGGAGAGUGUGGGCUUACCUGGAGACUCCCUAAGCAGAAAAUGAGAGCUUGGGGCUACAGUGAGGGGGCCACUCCACUGUUCAGGUCUGUGGGCUCAUCCUUCAUUCAGCGCUGAGCACGUGAAUUUGGGCAUAGAAGAUGGUGGUUAAAGCUUGAAUAAAAAGGCCCAAGAACCAAUAGAAACUGACGGAAACUGAUAGCAUACUGACAAAACACCUUAUCCUCUGCCUCUUGCUGGUGUCAAUGUAAGAAAAGAUCUGAGAUUUUAAGAACAACAGGCAGGGGGCAACAUACAGAGACCAGGAAAAGACAAGGACAUGAAUUUAAGGUACUCAAGUUCCAAAUACACGAAUCCAUUGCUAGUUGUUUCUUUUUCUCUCUUUUCUCAACAAGUUGGGGAACACAUGCAGAGGCAACAACAGCCACCGACUGAGUUGACUAUAUUCUCCAUGGGGCUGAGUAUGGACAAGGCGUAUUUCCCGGACGCCAUGGGCAGGGGGUCUCCAUCAAUGACGUGGAUAUUCAACACUACAGGGCCUGGCUCCCUGCUUGCGGAGGACUCAUGGGUCACCCUGAAUGGCCCAAACUCUCUGAUACCUGGCAGAGUGGUAAGGUAUUUGAAACAUCUAUUAGGAACAGAAAUAUUUAUAGUUAGUCAUUAUUUUCUUAAACCUUCUUGGUGGGUUCAGAAACAAGUGACCAUUUUGUGUAAAUUCAUUUAUUUUGGAGCAAUGAGAACACAUGGACAUAGGGAGGGGAACAUCACAC
rnacentral:lncRNA from 1 species